rnacentral:rRNA from 1 species
AUUGAACGCUGGCGGCAUGCCUUACACAUGCAAGUCGAACGGCAGCACGGGAGCAAUCCUGGUGGCGAGUGGCGAACGGGUGAGUAAUGUAUCGGAACGUGCCCAGUCGUGGGGGAUAACGUAGCGAAAGCUACGCUAAUACCGCAUACGAGCUAUGGAUGAAAGCGGGGGACCGUAAGGCCUCGCGCGAUUGGAGCGGCCGAUAUCAGAUUAGGUAGUUGGUGGGGUAAAGGCCUACCAAGCCGACGAUCUGUAGCUGGUCUGAGAGGACGACCGGCCAAGUGAGGACUGAGACACGGCCCAGACUCCUACGGGAGGCAGCAGUGGGGAAUUUUGGACAAUGGGCGCAAGCCUGAUCCAGCAAUGCCGCGUGCAGGAAGAAGGCCUUCGGGUUGUAAACUGCUUUUGUACGGGACGAAACGGUCCUGGUUAAUACCCUGGGGUCAUGACGGUACCGUAAGAAUAAGCACCGGCUAACUACGUGCCAGCAGCCGCCGCGG